AUGACCGACCUAGAGAGCAUAACCCACAUGCUGCAGUGGGUGGUGCCGUUCGCCUCGCCGCCGGCGGUAGAGCAGCUGGGGCGCGCGCUGUGGGGGCUGGGCUCCCUCACCCUUGUGCUGGCCCUCACCACCGUGCUCCACCAGCCGGCCGCCGGACCUGUCUUCGCCCACUACAAGGCCGCAUACUAUACCGUCCUUGCCUUCGUCCUCUUCGUCGCCGUGCCGGUGGAGCUGGGGAUCGCCUUCUGCCUGCCCCGCUGCAGCCACGGGCGCCGGAUCCAUCAUUUUGCCAGGGUUCUCGUCCCCUGCGCUUACCUGCUGCUCCUCGUCGUCAUCUCCGUCGGGUUGCUAUUCUUGGAAGUUAGUCUUGUACCUCAAGGAAAUGAAGCCAGUGGUUACGAACUUACGAUCUCUUUGUCGCACACCCGCAGUCACAAUUUCCAGAUGAUCAGCACCGACGUCUUGCCAAAGCAGCACUCGACGUGUAAGGUCGGCUUCCCGCAGCGCGGCUUCUUCCACACGGUGGUGCAGUUCCUGUGCUCGCUCGACGUGCUCGUGAGUGAGACCGAGGCGCUCCGGCAGGGGUUCAAUGAGUACUCCAGCUGGCCCACCUGGCCGCAGCAUUGCAUUGACGGUGAGUUCUUCUGCGGGGCGACAUCACUCUCGUGUCCUCCUCUGCAGGUGUCUCACAUAAUACGAACAGCAAAAGGUGUACUCUGCUUUCUUGUUUACCGCGGCCACAAUUUCCAAGUGGUCUGCAUUGACGUCUUGCCAAAGCAGCGCUCAACGUUUCUGGUCGGCUACCCGCAGUGUGGCUUCUCCCACAUGGUGGUGCAGGUUCUGUGGUUGCUUGUUGUGCCCUUCGAAACGCUCAAUGUGCUCGCUGACGAGGCGCUCCAGCAGUGGCUCAAGGAGUACUCAAGCUGGCACACCUCCCCGCAGCUCUACAUCGAAUUCGAGUUCUUCAGAGGGUGUGACAUCACAGUUGUAGGAUUGGAGUGCACAUGGCACUCUGUACCGGUGGAAUAUAUGCUCUCUGCCUUUCCUUCUCCCAUGAUUAUGAUUACGGUUCAAAAUUUGACUCUGCUGUAG
rnacentral:rRNA from 1 species